rnacentral:rRNA from 1 species
UCCGAAUGCCAUGUACUUAUACUCGGGAGUCAGACUGCGAGUGAUAAGAUCCGUAGUCGAAAGGGAAACAGCCCAGACCACCAGUUAAGGUCCCCAAAUAUAUGUUAAGUGGAAAAGGAUGUGGGGUUGCUUAGACAACCAGGAUGUUGGCUUAGAAGCAGCCACCAUUGAAAGAGUGCGUAAUAGCUCACUGGUCGAGUGACCCCGCGCCGAAAAUGUACCGGGGCUAAACAUAUUACCGAAACUGUGGAUGAACCUCUUUAGAGGUUCGUGGUAGGAGAGCGUUCUAAGGGCGGUGAAGUCAGACCGGAAGGACUGGUGGAGCGCUUAGAAGUGAGAAUGCCGGUAUGAGUAGCGAAAGAAGGGUGAGAAUCCCUUCCACCGAAUAUCUAAGGUUUCCUGAGGAAGGCUCGUCCGCUCAGGGUUAGUCGGGACCUAAGCCGAGGCCGAUAGGCGUAGGCGAUGGACAACAGGUAGAGAUUCCUGUACCAGUGCUAAUUGUUUAACCGAUGGGGUGACACAGAAGGAUAGGGAAUCGCACGAAUGGAAAUGUGCGUCCAAGCAGUGAGUGUGAGAAGUAGGCAAAUCCGCUUCUCGCGAAGCAUGAGCUGUGAUGGGGAAGGAAAUUAAGUACGGAAGUUCCUGAUUUCACGCUGUCAAGAAAAGCCUCUAGGAAGAGUAGUACUGCCCGUACCGCAAACCGACACAGGUAGAUGAGGAGAGAAUCCUAAGGUGAGCGAGAGAACUCUCGUUAAGGAACUCGGCAAAAUGACCCCGUAACUUCGGGAGAAGGGGUGCUCUAUUAGGGUGCAAGCCCGAGAGAGCCGCAGUGAAUAGGCCCAGGCGACUGUUUAGCAAAAACACAGGUCUCUGCAAAACCGUAAGGUGACGUAUAGGGGCUGACGCCUGCCCGGUGCUGGAAGGUUAAGAGGAGUGCUUAGCUUCGGCGAAGGUACGAAUUGAAGCCCCAGUAAACGGCGGCCGUAACUAUAACGGUCCUAAGGUAGCGAAAUUCCUUGUCGGGUAAGUUCCGACCCGCACGAAAGGCGCAACGAUCUGGGCACUGUCUCAACGAGAGACUCGGUGAAAUUAUAGUACCUGUGAAGAUGCAGGUUACCCGCGACAGGACGGAAAGACCCCGUGGAGCUUUACUGCAACCUGAUAUGGAAUGUUUGUACCGCUUGUACAGGAUAGGUAGGAGCCGAAGAGACGUGUGCGCUAGCAUACGAGGAGGCAAUGGUGGGAUACUACCCUGGCUGUAUGACCAUUCUAACCCGCCACGCUUAGCGCGUGGGGAGACAGUGUCAGGUGGGCAGUUUGACUGGGGCGGUCGCCUCCUAAAGAGUAACGGAGGCGCCCAAAGGUUCCCUCAGAAUGGAUGGAAAUCAUUCGCAGAGUGUAAAGGCACAAGGGAGCUUGACUGCGAGACUGACAAGUCGAGCAGGGACGAAAGUCGGGCUUAGUGAUCCGGUGGUUCCGCAUGGAAGGGCCAUCGCUCAACGGAUAAAAGCUACCCCGGGGAUAACAGGCUUAUCUCCCCCAAGAGUCCACAUCGACGGGGAGGUUUGGCACCUCGAUGUCGGCUCGUCGCAUCCUGGGGCUGUAGUCGGUCCCAAGGGUUGGGCUGUUCGCCCAUUAAAGCGGCACGCGAGCUGGGUUCAGAACGUCGUGAGACAGUUCGGUCCCUAUCCGUCGCGGGCGCAGGAAAUUUGAGAGGAGCUGUCCUUAGUACGAGAGGACCGGGAUGGACACACCGCUGGUGUACCAGUUGUUCCGCCAGGAGCAUCGCUGGGUAGCUAUGUGUGGCAGGGAUAAACGCUGAAAGCAUCUAAGCGUGAAGCCCCCCUCAAGAUGAGAUUUCCCAUUUCUUCGGAAAGUAAGAUCCCUGAAAGAUGAUCAGGUAGAUAGGUUUGGAGUGGAAGUGUAGCGAUACAUGGAGCGGACAAAUACUAAUCGAUCGAGGACUUAACCAAAA